UGCCGACGUCGGUGCAGGUCCCUGGGUCCCCGCGGCCCGCGCUAGCCAUAGGACUGUGCCAACUGAUUAGGGCUUUAACCUACCACUACCAGCUGGGUCCUGGCCCUGGCAGUACCAUGAUGGCUGGAUCCACCCUCUGCCUCCAGGCCUAAGUAUCUGCCUUCGAGGCAUCUGCACACCUGCUAGCCCUAAGAACCUCUAUCACGGAAUCACCUUCAUUCUUUUCCCGAGUAACAAUACUGUGGAGAUCUUAAAAGUCUGUAGCCUGAUCUAUAAUAGGCCCACCUACUCAGGAGAUGAGACACAAAUUGGGUGUACCUACAUCACGACACUGAUAGAUGGCAGGACCUUAGGUUUGGGUCGGCCCCCAGUUCUGCCUACCUUAGUUGGCUAGAAGUAGUUGUGCUAGAAAAGAGGUAAUGGACCACCCCUCCUCCACAGCAGUGCCUCUUGGUGGAGCCCUGGAUACUCACACAAACACACCCGACGCGGCCUGACAGAGCGCCCCCCACCCCGCCCCUGCCGCCGCCCCUGCCGCCGCCGCUGCCGCCAAAAGGAGUUCAUUAUUUAGGGCAGGGAGUCGAGAAGGUGACUCAGGCAUGUGCCAGGAGCUGGCCCCUCCCCCCGCCCUGGGGACUCAGGACUUCCGGACAUACUUGAAAGGCCCUGCAGAGCCCCAAGCUCUCAGCUCCCAGCAGAGAUGCAUGUGAGAAUUCUGAGACAGAAUCCUAUUUACAGGGUUAGGUAGAUUGAACCAACCAGGGAGUCAAGUCAAACCCUGAAGCCAGGAGCCAGACUGAACAGGCUGUCCCGGAACAGGUAAAGGUGACCCCUCUGCAAGUCUGUAAUGGUGAAAUUCCAUCAAUGCUCGCUAGCAUCAACAGACCUGUCAGGCACACUGCUUCCAGGGGCAAGGCAAAGUUCCCCUUCUAGCCCUCCAACCCAAGGGAUCUGUAGCCAUUACAGGAGCUGUUUUGCUGUGUGCCCACCUGGCUGGUCGAAUGAGGAGCCUCAGCUAAGGCACAGACACUCUGCCAGUGAUUGGACUACGAGAAAAAAUUUGAAAGCUGGGGGUAACUCGGU